UAGUACCUUACUACUUGGAUAACCGUGGUAAUUCUAGAGCUAAUACAUGCUGAAAACCCCGACUUCGGAAGGGAUGUAUUUGUUAGAUUAAAAGCCAAUGCCCUCCGGGGCCUCCUGGUGAUUCAUGACAACUUCUCGAAUCGCACGGCCUUGCGCCGGCGAUGGUUCAUUCAAAUUUCUGCCCUAUCAACUUUCGACGGCUGGGUCUUGGCCAGCCGUGGUGACAACGGGUAACGGAGGGUUAGGGCUCGACCCCGGAGAAGGAGCCUGAGAAACGGCUACUACAUCCAAGGAAGGCAGCAGGCGCGCAAAUUACCCAAUCCCGACACGGGGAGGUAGUGACAAUAAAUACUGAUACAGGGCUCUUUUGGGUCUUGUAAUUGGAAUGAGUACAAUUUAAUUCCCUUAACGAGGAACAAUUGGAGGGCAAGUCUGGUGCCAGCAGCCGCGGUAAUUCCAGCUCCAAUAGCGUAUAUUAAAGUUGUUGCAGUUAAAAAGCUCGUAGUUGAACCUUGGGCCUGGCUGGCCGGUCCGCCUCACCGCGUGCACUGGUCCGGCCGGGCCUUUCCCUCUGGGGAGCCGCAUGCCCUUCGCUGGGCGUGCCGGGGAACCAGGACGUUUACUUUGAAAAAAUUAGAGUGUUCAAAGCAGGCUUAUGCUCGGAUACAUUAGCAUGGAAUAAUGGAAUAGGACGCGCGGUUCUAUUUUGUUGGUUUCUAGGACCGCCGUAAUGAUCAAUAGGGACAGUCGGGGGCAUCAGUAUUCCGUUGUCAGAGGUGAAAUUCUUGGAUUUACGGAAGACUAACUACUGCGAAAGCAUUUGCCAAGGAUGUUUUCAUUAAUCAGGAACGAAAGUUAGGGGAUCGAAGACGAUCAGAUACCGUCGUAGUCUUAACCAUAAACUAUGCCGACUAGGGAUCGGAC
rnacentral:rRNA from 1 species